ACACACACACAGAGAGCAGAGGGUGUCCCACACUGAUGAGCAAUCCUAUUUCAGUCUCACUGUGAAACUACUGAAGCUUUAAGAAGGAUGCCGGUGUACAAACCUGCUCCUCAACUCAUCACUAUGCAGCCUUACUGCAGAUAGACUUUUAAUUUGAACCUGCCAGUGGAGAUGACAAGCCUUCAAGAAACCUCAUCAGUCCAGCAGCGGCCCGCCAGAUGCUGCAGAUGACAGCUCCCAGCAGUACGGCCAAAAAGGACACUGCUGCGUGUCUUCAAAUAAGGCAGAAGGACAUCAGGAGGUGUGGAAGAAACAUACCAGAUGUUGCUGUAGAGAUGAUGGAGAUCAGAGAUGGAGAUCCAACACUCUGCACUCGGGGUAAGAGACAACAACAUAAAGACUCUACAGAGUGUCGUCUGUGAAGCACUUAAGCUGCUGUUGGUUUACAACAUGUGCACGUUUGAUAUAAAUCCACAGAAGUUCACAUACUUAUCUUUCAACAACAUCUCAUCUACUGAGAUCACAGGAAGCUGUUUCCACCUCUUACGCUGUUUUCCAGAGUCUGACCAUAAUUCUGGGCAGAUAUAUAGUUACAGAUAAAACAAUAUAGGAAAUACAGAGGCUCCAAAUGAACCGACAAAACCGUAUUCCAUCAUCUGGUAUUUUUAUGGUGUCUAAUACUCAAACCAUUCAGUGUGAAACUGUAUGGGAGCACCGAAAUUCACACGUUUUUUUUCAACAAUUUGUUCAGGGUUUUGGUUUUUAAAAGUCUGGCUGACUUUAGGCAACGAUACAGUCUGGGUGUUAAGUUAGAGACACCUUCACGGUCAAAGGAAACCAACACAAACUGAUCCCGAGCCUCCUGUACUCCCAUCCACCACACUUAUACCCUCUACCUAACCACGCUCUAAGAACAGCAUACUUCUACUUGCUUUGGCCCUGAAUGUCACUUGACCAACCGGUGGGUCAGUUAAGCUGUCUGACCAAAGUAACCCUGUCAUUUUCCCUGAUCUCGUGUAAGUGGCAAUCUAGUCAAAGACUAUAGGUGUCAGAUAAAUAUAGAAGAUUCCACUCUAAAUUAUAGUGAAGGAAGAGCAGAUAGUCUCCAAACAUGGAAUAAUCAGAUAACACAGUAUAGAUGCUCCCUGUUGGUUUCCUCCUCAACUGAAAGGAAGCAGCAGAGAGCCGAUGGUUAGAAUAGAUGAUCUGUUUAUCAGUGUGUGUGUGUGUGUGUGUGUGUGUGUGUGUGGGUGUGUGUGUGUGUGUGUGUGUGUGUGUGUGUGUGUGUGUGUGUGUGUGUAUGUGUGUGUGUCUGGGGUGGGGGCAGGGGGCUACAGCCUCCACAUCCAAAAAAA